rfam:Erinaceus europaeus unplaced genomic scaffold scaffold00036, whole genome shotgun sequence
CUCUGUAAAACUUUUCCUAUGCUGGGUAGUAAAAGACACCUUGUUACCUGAAUGGACAG